rnacentral:tRNA from 1 species
UCCUCAAUAGCUCAGUUGGUUAGAGCACCUGACUGUUAAUCAGGGGGUCGCAGGUUCAAGUCCUGCUUGGGGAGCCA